rnacentral:rRNA from 1 species
CUUGGUCAUUUAGAGGAAGUAAAAGUCGUAACAAGGUUUCCGUAGGUGAACCUGCGGAAGGAUCAUUACAGAGUUCAUGCCCUUCGGGGUAGAUCUCCCACCCUUGUGUAUCAUCAUCAAAUGUUGCUUUGGCGGGCCGCAAGCCUGGCUUGCCCGGAUUCGCGUCCGGCGUGCCCGCCAGAGAACCCCAAACUCUGAAUGUUAGUGCCGUCUGAGUACUAUUAAAUAGUUAAAACUUUCAACAACGGAUCUCUUGGUUCUGGCAUCGAUGAAGAACGCAGCGAAAUGCGAUAAGUAAUGUGAAUUGCAGAAUUCAGUGAAUCAUCGAAUCUUUGAACGCACAUUGCGCCCCUUGGUAUUCCGGGGGGCAUGCCUGUUCGAGCGUCAUUAAUACCAAUCUAGCCCGGCUAGGUGUUGGGCCUCGCCGUCUGGCGGGCCUUAAAAUCAGUGGCGGUGCUCCUCAGCUCUACGCGUAGUAAUUAUUCUCGCUACAGGGCCUGUGGAGAUGCUUGCCAGCAACCCCAAAUUUUUUCAGGUUGACCUCGGAUCGGGUAGGGAUACCCGCUGAACUUAAGCAUAUCAAUAAGCGGAGGA